rnacentral:rRNA from 1 species
UAGGGAAUCUUCGGCAAUGGACGGAAGUCUGACCGAGCAACGCCGCGUGAGUGAAGAAGGUUUUCGGAUCGUAAAGCUCUGUUGUAAGAGAAGAACGAGUGUGAGAGUGGAAAGUUCACACUGUGACGGUAUCUUACCAGAAAGGGACGGCUAACUACGUGCCAGCAGCCGCGGUAAUACGUAGGUCCCGAGCGUUGUCCGGAUUUAUUGGGCGUAAAGCGAGCGCAGGCGGUUAGAUAAGUCUGAAGUUAAAGGCUGUGGCUUAACCAUAGUAGGCUUUGGAAACUGUCUAACUUGAGUGCAAGAGGGGAGAGUGGAAUUCCAUGUGUAGCGGUGAAAUGCGUAGAUAUAUGGAGGAACACCGGUGGCGAAAGCGGCUCUCUGGCUUGUAACUGACGCUGAGGCUCGAAAGCGUGGGGAGCAAACAGGAUUAGAUACCCUGGUAGUCCACGCUGUAAACGAUGAGUGCUAGGUGUUAGACCCUUUCCGGGGUUUAGUGCCGUAGCUAACGCAUUAAGCACUCCGCCUGGGGAGUACGACCGCAAGGUUG